UGCGUAGGCGGCCCGUUAAGACAGGGGUGAAAUCCCGCAGCUCAACUGCGGAACUGCCCUUGAUACUGGGGGGCUCGGAUCGGCGCGAGGCGGGCGGAACGUGGCAUGUAGCGGUGAAAUGUUUAGAUAUGCCACAGAACACCGAUUGCGUAGGCAGCUUGCCAGAGCCGUAUCGACGCUGAGGCACGAAAGCGUGGGGAGCGAACAGGAUUAGAUACCCUGGUAGUCC
rnacentral:rRNA from 1 species